rnacentral:rRNA from 1 species
GGGAAUAUUGGACAAUGGGGGCAACCCUGAUCCAGCAAUGCCGCGUGUGUGAAGAAGGUCUUCGGAUUGUAAAGCACUUUCGACGGGGACGAUGAUGACGGUACCCGUAGAAGAAGCCCCGGCUAACUUCGUGCCAGCAGCCGCGGUAAUACGAAGGGGGCUAGCGUUGCUCGGAAUGACUGGGCGUAAAGGGCGCGUAGGCGGCUUGUACAGUCAGAUGUGAAAUUCCUGGGCUUAACCUGGGGGCUGCAUUUGAUACGUGCGGGCUAGAGUGUGAAAGAGGGUCGUGGAAUUCCCAGUGUAGAGGUGAAAUUCGUAGAUAUUGGGAAGAACACCGGUGGCGAAGGCGGCGACCUGGUUCAUGACUGACGCUGAGGCGCGAAAGCGUGGGGAGCAAACA